rnacentral:sRNA from 2 species
GUUGUAUAAUUUGAAUAUUCAGGCGGAGGAACCCGGUGUAAAUCCGGGGCUGCCCCGCAACGGUGAUGUCCGCAAGGACUAAGCCCGGUCUACCGCCUGGAAGCUGCAGCCUGCGCGGGACGGCGCCCUUCCAAGGGUAGGCCGC